GACGAACGCUGGCGGCGUGCUUAACACAUGCAAGUCGAACGGAAAGGCCCUGCUUGCAGGGUACUCGAGUGGCGAACGGGUGAGUAACACGUGGGUGAUCUGCCCUGCACUUCGGGAUAAGCCUGGGAAACUGGGUCUAAUACCGGAUAGGAGCCAUUUUUAGUGUGAUGGUUGGAAAGUUUUUUCGGUGUAGGAUGAGCUCGCGGCCUAUCAGCUUGUUGGUGGGGUAAUGGCCUACCAAGGCGGCGACGGGUAGCCGGCCUGAGAGGGUGGACGGCCACAGUGGGACUGAGAUACGGCCCAGACUCCUACGGGAGGCAGAAGUGGGGAAUAUUGCACAAUGGGCGCAAGCCUGAUGCAGCGACGCCGCGUGGGGGAUGACGGCCUUCGGGUUGGAAACUCCUUUCGCUAGGGACGAAGCUUUUUGUGACGGUACCUAGAUAAGAAGCACCGGCUAACUACGUG
rnacentral:rRNA from 1 species